rnacentral:lncRNA from 1 species
CUGGGUCACGUGCCACUCUCAGCUACAGCCAAAAUCAAAGUAAGCAUUAUUGAAGCUACAUUUUGCAACAAGGAAUCAAUAUUUCUAGAUUAUCAAUGAACCCACCUGCAUGAGUCAACUUUAUGCCAUUCUUAAAAUGAAACAUAAAUAGAGCUGGAAGUUCUGGUUCUUGUAAUUUCUUCGCCUAUUUUAUGGACUAAAGAAGCUUUAGAAGAGAGCAAACGGAAAUAAACAAGCGAUUAACCAUAAACUCUGUAAUGUAAAAGUAUCGCAGAUGGCAGUAUGUUUUAGAAUUUUGGAGGAAGGCUGAUUGAAUUUGAGGAAGGUUUCAGAACUUUCGCUGAGCUCUAUUUUAAAAGGUAAUAUUGGUCAGAUUCUCACUCAUUCCUGUGAAUAACUUUCAGAUACCAAAGAAAACACAAUUCACGCUGAAGCGCAAGAAAUCAAAAUCUAACAUUGAUUAUGGCGAUCUCAUCUGCCCGAUGGAGCAGGCCAGUGCAAGUAUUUUAAAUAUCGUGGAAUCAGGUGAUGAGCUCUCGAAUUCCGCCCUGAGUCUCUCUGUCUCACUCUCUGGUAAAUCAGGUAUAAAUCACGAAAUUGCUUCUGAGGAGCCCAAUGGAUCCUUGAACCAGAAUGUCUCGACUGUCUCUUCCAAAACAACCAAAUGACAGAAUCAGCACUUACAAGAAUGAACGUAGACGAUCCCCAACUCAGCAACUGCUAACCCUAUCGUCAUAUCAGUAAUUAAUCACAUGUUCUAUCAUCACAAGUAUACCGUUAUCAACAUAAAUCAUAUUUCGCAUGUAUGUCUCAGUGGAUCUGUACCAAUAGCACUGCUAAGCUAGAUAUCCUACCAGUCGGGUCUUCCUAUUCGAUACUUUCUUUUUACCUGUAUGUUUCCUGCGCAAUUUGAAAGCCCCUGCGUAUGUGAUUUUUUUUUUUUUUUUUCUAGUUAACGCACAAUAUCAUGAACAGAUCAAGAAACCAAAUUUGUUAUUAUAUUUUGUGCCUGAAGUUUUUUGGUUAUAAUGAUUCUCUUAAAUGAUACCAUAGGGAUUAACUAAAAACCCCUAUUUUUAAUAUUUAUUCCAUUCAACCUUCUGACCACAAAAUGCUUCAAGGUUGGAAAUUUCUGUACUUCCAACUAGAGAAAAUCGGAACCUAUAUGUUAAUUUUUGGCACUGUUACAAGGAUUUCUUUUAGAAAUGUUACUGCAUCGCAUUUUGAAAUUUGUGAAUCACUCUUUCUUGAAUUUUAAUAUUUAGUUCGAACUAACAAAGUUCUUGUAAAACUUGCUUAAUAUUUUUUUAUAUAUUCAAGUCUGAAAACUUAGACUUGUCAGUGUCGAACUUUUUGUAAGUCAAAAGUAGGAAAAAUGCAUAGAAUGUAUGUAUGUAUGAAACUUCAAACCGUACAAAUGUAUUUCUAAAGGCUCCCUUGAAGGUUUAAAAAUUUACCAUGUGUUAUUUAUCGUUUCUUUAUUCCAGACCAUAAAAGUGGCUGAGGAAAUUAUCCAGCCAAAGUUUUUUGUAAUAACUACUAAAAUUUUGAUUGUUAACCAUACUAUUCAAACGUUCCUAAAAAAAUAAUCACAUGAAGCUCUGUAUUGAUUCUAGAAAUUCCUCAUUGAAGUAACUGCGCCCUCUACUAAAAGCAUCUCCUCUAAAGGUUCAGUUACACGAUCAAAUUGAGCCAUCAAACUGAAGCUCUGAUUGGUGGAAAAAAGACCUGAGGUGAGGAUGCGACCUAUGAGCGGCCCAAUUUGAUGGCUCAAUUUGAUCGUGUAACUGAACCAUAAAAGUUUGUGAUUUGUUACGAGCAAUGAAUACACUUUUAAUUUCUUUUUUACCUUUUCUGGUUGUUGAAAUUGUAAAAUUUUGUGCAGGUCUGAUAACAUACCUUUCUGGUGAGCUUUCAAACUGAUAUUUUUAAUUUUUACUUGUUUGCGGAAGGAAUAAAUGUUAAAAAUUUGCAAAGUGAAAGAGAUUAAUGUUAUUUUUCCCAUGAGGAGAGCUCUUCGAUGCUAAAAAAGAAGAGAAAAACCGCCAUCAGAGCUCUCAGACAUGGCCAAAUUUCCUUCGAUUAUUGCCAAAAUCGACUGUUCGAUUGAUUGAUUUCAUGAGACUGAUUUUAAAUUCGUUCUUUGUAUUUUCAUUCUUUGGAUGUGAACUUAAUUUCACAGUGUUUGGUUGAGUGUUGUAAAGUCCAGACAAGGAAAUCUUUGAAAAAAAUGUGCCAAUUUAAAACCCUUGACUUUGACCUUGCCGCCAAAUUUUCUCCAAGUCAUCGAUGUCUUUGGGAACGCAACUUAAACCACAGCGUUAAUUUACUAUAAUUUCCUUUUAUACUAGUUUUAAUUUCCUAAUCUAAAAUUGUUUUUUACGGAUUUUUUAAAGAGCGACUCGAAUGGCUGUGGUAGCAGUGGCUUUCAGAUCACCUUUUAUACCUACCAUUUUCGACCAAGCGCAACAUAAUGACAAUAUUCUAAGUUACGAUAUCUGUAGUAUUUUGAUGCCCUUUUACCUUGUUAAUUUUUGUAAUAUUUUACUUUUUGAUAGUAUUUUAUUUCAGAGUUUUAAAUUUUAACCCUCCUGCCUUGUGGGUUCUACUGUAGGUGUAAAUACAUACCAUACCAUGUUAAACCUCUGCCU